GUCCCAGUUCGGAUCGCAGGCUGCAACCCGCCUGCGUGAAGUUGGAAUCGCUAGUAAUCGCGGAUCAGCAUGCCGCGGUGAAUACGUUCCCGGGCCUUGUACACACCGCCCGUCACACCAUGAGAGUCGGGAACACCCGAAGUCCGUAGCCUAACCGCAAGGGGGCGCGGCCGAAGGUGGGUUCGAUAAUUGGGGUGAAGUCGUAACAAGGUAAC
rnacentral:rRNA from 1 species